rnacentral:lncRNA from 1 species
CCUGAUGAAGUUAGGAAGCUGGUUACCUGGUGAAAGUGGUGAAUCAACAAUAAUCUAUUAGCGAAAUGAGGAAAUAUCAUUGGAAACGAAUGCAGCACGAAAGCUCACUUUCUCAGUAGGAUCUCAACGCACCCCCAGUUCCCAGGAUGCUCAACCACAAACAACUGUUGAUGUUGUAAGGAGUAAUCGACAAGUUUAAAAUGGCCUGCGUCUCUCAUUUUAUCCUUCGAUAAUAAAAACGGGCAUAAUUUUUUGAAAGUUGACCCCAUUGAGGAGAAAAUUGAAUGCAAUAAGUAGUAGAAUACGUCGAAAGGUUUUGUACUUGGAGAUUCUCUUAGUUUUAAGGAUAUGAUGAAACUUAUGUAUAGUGUAUGGAAUUUUGUAGGUGUAUCUUGGUUAUACCUUCAUGAUGAAGGUUACUUUACUUUUCUAUUUGACACAAUUGAAGAUAGCGACCUAGUAAUGGCCGAAAUACCUUACACUUACAGUAAUAGAUCUAUGGUUUUAAGGAAUUGGGUUAAGGAUUUUAAGUUUCAACCGAAGAUGCUUCGAGUUAUACCAUUG